rnacentral:rRNA from 1 species
CGGGAGGCAGCAGUGGGGAAUCUUGGACAAUGGGGGCAACCCUGAUCCAGCCAUGCCGCGUGAGUGAUGAAGGCCUUAGGGUCGUAAAGCUCUUUCGCCUGUGAAGAUAAUGACGGUAGCAGGUAAAGAAACCCCGGCUAACUCCGUGCCAGCAGCCGCGGUAAUACGGAGGGGGUUAGCGUUGUUCGGAAUUACUGGGCGUAAAGCGCACGUAGGCGGAUCGGAAAGUUGGGGGUGAAAUCCCGGGGCUCAACCCCGGAACUGCCUCCAAAACUAUCGGUCUAGAGUUCGAGAGAGGUGAGUGGAAUUCCGAGUGUAGAGGUGAAAUUCGUAGAUAUUCGGAGGAACACCAGUGGCGAAGGCGGCUCACUGGCUCGAUACUGACGCUGAGGUGCGAAAGUGUGGGGAGCAAACAGGAUUAGAUACCCUGGUAG